rnacentral:rRNA from 1 species
AGUCCAGACUCCUACGGGAGGCAGCAGUGGGGAAUAUUGCACAAUGGGGGAAACCCUGAUGCAGCGACGCCGCGUGGGUGACGAAGUAUUUCGGUAUGUAAAGCCCUAUCAGCAGGGAAGAAGAUGACAGUACCUGACUAAGAAGCCCCGGCUAACUACGUGCCAGCAGCCGCGGUAAUACGUAGGGGGCAAGCGUUAUCCGGAUUUACUGGGUGUAAAGGGUGCGUAGGUGGCACGGCAAGUCAGAAGUGAAAGCCCGGGGCUCAACCCCGCGGACUGCUUUUGAAACUGUCAGGCUGGAGUACAGGAGAGGUAAGCGGAAUUCCUAGUGUAGCGGUGAAAUGCGUAGAUAUUAGGAGGAACACCAGUGGCGAAGGCGGCUUACUGGACUGUAACUGACACUGAGGCACGAAAGCGUGGGGAGCAAACAGGAUUAGAUACCCCAGUAC